GAUGGACCCGCGCCGUAUUAGCUAGUUGGUAAGGUAACGGCUUACCAAGGCGACGAUACGUAGCCGACCUGAGAGGGUGAUCGGCCACACUGGAACUGAGACACGGUCCAGACUCCUACGGGAGGCAGCAGUAGGGAAUCUUCCGCAAUGGGCGAAAGCCUGACGGAGCAACGCCGCGUGAGUGAUGAAGGGUUUCGGCUCGUAAAACUCUGUUAUUAGGGAAGAACAAAUGUGUAAGUAACUGUGCACAUCUUGACGGUACCUAAUCAGAAAGCCACGGCUAACUACGUGCCAGCAGCCGCGGUAAUACGUAGGUGGCAAGCGUUAUCCGGAAUUAUUGGGCGUAAAGCGCGCGUAGGCGGUUUCUUAAGUCUGAUGUGAAAGCCCACGGCUCAACCGUGGAGGGUCAUUGGAAACUGGGGAACUUGAGUGCAGAAGAGGAAAGUGGAAUUCCAUGUGUAGCGGUGAAAUGCGCAGAGAUAUGGAGGAACACCAGUGGCGAAGGCGACUUUCUGGUCUGUAACUGACGCUGAUGUGCGAAAGCGUGGGGAUCAAACAGGAUUAGAUACCCUGGUAGUCCACGC
rnacentral:rRNA from 1 species